GCCGGCUUAGCUCAGUUGGUAGAGCAGCGCACUUGUAAUGCGAAGGUCGAGGGUUCAACUCCUUUAGCCGGCACCA
rnacentral:tRNA from 25 species